rnacentral:rRNA from 1 species
GCCGUUCGCCUCCCGCAACCGCGCCCAUCGCCGCAGGCUCGCGCCGAGCCACGGGAAGCCGCACCCUUCACUGUCGCCUCACGCCGCCGGAUCCACGGGAGCCGCCGCGGGUCGCCGCCUCCCCACCCGCGGGAGCCGCCCCGUCGCGCCCUUCGCCGCCUCCCGCGGCGCCUCGUGUCGCCGCCUCCCCAGUCGCGGGAGCCGCGGCGCCUCGUGUCGCCGCCUCCCCACCCGCGGGAGCCGCCCCGUCGCGCCCUUCGCCGCCUCUCGCGGCGCCGCGUGUCGCCGCCUCCCCAGCCGCGGGAGCCACCCCGCAGCGGGUCGCUGCCUCCCCAGCCGCCGGAGCCACCCCACCGCGCCCUUCGCCGCCUCUGGAGCCGCAGCUUGGCCUCCGUCACGCCGCCCCUCCGCCUCCGUCGCAAGCACGCUCCUAAUGGAUUCAUCAAUGGUAGUAGAGUGCCACCAAUGGAUUCAUCUAUGAGCUAUGGGUUGUCAAGGCUACAGUAGUAAUUAUAAGCUUUUAACUUCUGUUAAAUUUGGGUGGAUCGAUGCCUCGCCGAACUAACUUAUGAAAUUGGAGAUCAGUUGAUUUGAUAAUCGUUACCUGGCUGGCAAUCCCUGACAAGUGAACUUAAUACUACGUGCAUGACAACUACACUUUGGUCUGCACUCUUCAUCUACAACUCAAAGUAUGUAAGUUUGCAGGCGAGUGCAAGGUAAGUAGCAGACAGGCUAGAUGCACUCUGUUUGUGACGACGGUCAGAUGAAUUGUGCAAGGCACAUGCCAGCUUGUUCAUGUUCCGUGCACACGUUAAUGCUGCAAAAGGCCAAAAGCGAUGCACUGAUCAUGUUCCAGAUUAUCAAGAAUGAUGAGCUCCAAGAACCCAGUUCUGAAACUUUUGUAACUGUAUAUCUUGGUAAAUUGAGGGGCUCUAAUGUUGCAAUAAAAAGAAAUGGCAGAUGUUUCCCCGGGAAGCCAUCUCAGCGAGACAAAAUGCAUGUCAAUUCUCUCUUGAGAGGGGUCAAUUAGAUUGGACAAUGGCUUCGCUGAGAACCAGGGAGUAUCAAGGUCUGCACAAGCACAUGUGGCUUCUUCAAUAAUAAGACCUUGAUUUGCUCACUAGAAGAUAGAUAUGGCAAGGAGGGCGCAUCGAGAACAAAGCAUCUUCUAGCCAAAAGAAGGUGAGUCUGUACGUGUUGUCUUCGUGGAUUGGUGGCAUGAUGCCAAUGUAUGCAUGGUGGAUUGAAUGUGGCGCUAAAAGCAUGGAUGGGCGACUCAUCAAGAGUAAGAAAAAAGGCAUACGCCAGUUUCAGUGAUAUAGAACCCGUUUGUAAAACAAAAGAAUCUUUUGAUCAAAUGUUAUUUCAUAUUUUUUUUUUGCUACCAUGGCAACGCAGACACAUUACCUAUUCAAAUUAAAAAACAGUAUAAUUGAGCUACCUAUGAGCGAUCAAAGCG